rnacentral:rRNA from 1 species
UGCGUAGGCGGACUAAUAAGUCAGUGGUGAAAUCUUUCGGCUCAACCGAGAAACUGCCAUUGAUACUGUUAAUCUUGAGUUCGGUUGAGGUAGGCGGAAUGUGUAAUGUAGCGGUGAAAUGCUUAGAUAUUACACAGAACACCAAUUGCGUAGGCAGCUUACUAGACCGACACUGACGCUGAGGCACGAAAGCGUGGGGAGAGAACAGGAUUAGAUACCCUGGUAGUCC